rnacentral:ncRNA from 1 species
AUAAAUGCGGUGACGGGGAGGAGUACAUACCCAGCCGGCUUUCAGAGAGAAGAUGUUUGGUGUGAAUCUUCAGCUAGGAAGUAUGGAAGUAGCCCCUGAGCAGUGAGCCGAACAGAGACAGGAUAUCUCUUAGUAGACCUCAACGUCCCUUUCCCACGUUACAGGGAAAACAGUAUCGAUAUCCUUACGAUCAUCUGUACUGGCAAAGCGCAGGAUUUUUCCUGAAAUCAGGUGGUACCACGGAUGACUUAUCCGCCCUGAAC